CCCUUAACUAUUAAAAGUUUCGUUUUGGUCCCUUAACUUAUUUUUUGAUUUCGUUUUGGUCCCUUAACUUAUUUUUUGAUUUCGUUUUGGUCCUUAACUCUAAUACAUUCAUCCUAACAUAAAGGACCAAAGUGGUUGACGGAGGAAGAGUUAAGGGACCAAAACGAAAUCAAAAAAUAAGUUAAGGGACCAAAACGAAACUUUUAAUAGUUAGGGGACCAAAACGAAACCAAAAAGUAAGUUAAGGGACCAAAACGAAACUUUUAAUAGUUAAAGGA
rnacentral:pre_miRNA from 1 species